AUGCCUUCAAGAAACGCACUUCAGACAUCCCACUGCACCAUCGCGCUUUACAAAACUGUAUCCUACGCAGUAUCAUGCCCUGUCGGAAACGAAAACGAAAUGGGUUUCCAUCUUAGUGCAUAAAGAUGUUGCUUUUACUCUGCAAAGCUGUUACAUUGACCCUAAGGGAAGAUAUAUUAUUGUUGUAGGGUUCAUCAAUAAUGCACAAUACACCAUAGGGGCAGCAUACUUUCCGAAUGACAACCAAGCCUCUUUCCUCAAAUCUCUUCUGUCCAACCUAGAUACAUACAAACAAGGGGGGCUCAUACUGGG